rnacentral:rRNA from 1 species
GAUGAACGCUAGCGGCAGGCUUAAUACAUGCAAGUCGAGGGGUAACAGGGAGUGCUUGCACUCCGCUGACGACCGGCGAACGGGUGCGUAACGCGUAUGCAACCUACCUAUGACAGGGAAAUAGUCAGAAGAAAUUUUGAGUAAUGUCCCAUACUAUUUAAUAUUAGCAUUAAUGUUAAAUCAAAACUUCGGUGGUCUUAGAUGGGCAUGCGUCUUAUUAGUUUGUUGGUAAGGUAAUGGCUUACCAAGACUACGAUAAGUAGGGGCCCUGAGAGGGGGACCCCCCACACUGGUACUGAGACACGGACCAGACUUCUACGGAAGGCAGCAGUAAGGAAUAUUGGACAAUGGAGGAAACUCUGAUCCAGCCAUGCCGCGUGCAGGAUGAAUGCCCUAUGGGUUGUAAACUGCUUUUAUACAGGAAGAAACCUUUGUACGUGUACGAAGCUGACGGUACUGUAAGAAUAAGGAUCGGCUAACUCCGUGCCAGCCGCCGCCGUAACAC